UGAUCAUUUGUGGGUACAGUGAAAUUAAUAUUCCGGGGUAUAUAAUAAAUCAGCAACUAAACUGGCUUUACUUCCUCAAUCCUAUUUAGAAUCUCAUCUACCUCAAUAAGACGCAUCUGGGAUGCCUCCCAUCAAGGCUUAGUUAAUCUUAAGUAUCAGGAGUAUCCCAACUCGAAAGGAGAGGGUAAGAAUCGAAAGGUUGAAUGCAAGUACUGUGAAAAGUCAGAGGUGAAUUGGUGGCAGCGAAACAAUGGCAAAAUAAAUGCAAAGCUUGAGCAGAAGUCUGAAGUGAUGAUAGGAGGUUUGGAAAGACAAAGUGAUGGAAAAACGAGCAAGAAAGACUAUAGAAAGUAGGUCACGUGUUGCAGAUUAAUACCCCCAUACCCUCCGCAAUCUUAUUUGUAACAAAGAGUAACUGUAAUGGAGGAACCAGCAAUCAUUCAUCAGAAGUGGAAAUUUCUGCUGUUCUUACCUUUGUCAAAUAUCAGGUAC